rnacentral:rRNA from 1 species
GACGAACGCUGGCGGCGUGCUUAACACAUGCAAGUCGAACGCUGAUGGCCCAGCUUGCUGGGUUGGAUGAGUGGCGAACGGGUGAGUAACACGUGAGUAACCUGCCCUCUUCUUUGGGAUAACGGUCGGAAACGGCUGCUAAUACCGGGUAUUCACUGUCCUUCGCAUGGGGGGUGGUGGAAAGGUUUUUUCUGGUGGGGGAUGGGCUCGCGGCCUAUCAGCUUGUUGGUGGGGUGAUGGCUUACCAAGGCUUUGACGGGUAACCGGCCUGAGAGGGUGACCGGUCACAUUGGGACUGAGAUACGGCCCAGACUCCUACGGGAGGCAGCAGUGGGGAAUAUUGCACAAUGGGCGAAAGCCUGAUGCAGCGACGCCGCGUGAGGGAUGGAGGCCUUCGGGUUGUAAACCUCUUUCGCUCAUGGUCAAGCCGCAGCUUUGGGUUGUGGUGAGGGUAGUGGGUAAAGAAGCACCGGCUAACUACGUGCCAGCAGCCGCGGUAAUACGUAGGGUGCGAGCGUUGUCCGGAAUUAUUGGGCGUAAAGGGCUUGUAGGCGGUUUGUCGCGUCUGCCGUGAAAUCCUCUGGCUUAACUGGGGGCGUGCGGGUGGGGUACGGGCAGGCUUGAGUGCGGUAGGGGAGACUGGAACUCCUGGUGUAGCGGUGGAAUGCGCAGAUAUCAGGAAGAACACCGGUGGCGAAGGCUGGUCUCUGGGCUUUACUGACGCUGAGGAGCAAACGUGGGGGAGCGAACAGGAUUAUAUACCUCUGGUAUCCCAGGGCGAAUCCACCGUGGAUA